GUGGUACGAUCCGGCAGACUCCAUAAGAACCCCUCCUCCCCGCCUCCCCCUCUUCUGUCAGUGCUAGGGUGUAGCUACUGAUCCCAUACUACGGCACAGAGAGGGAGAGCGAAAGGGAGGUGGGACAUCAGGUGUCACGGCUCCACAGCCUCAGAUGAGGCUGCAUCACCACGACAACCAGGGGUGCCGUCAGCUCUCUGUGCCUCACCAGCCAAGCCUCCAACCAACCGCCCAGCCAGCUAUCCUGCAGUCUACCAAUCCAUCCGUCCGUCCGUCCGUCCGUCCAUCCAUCUCUCCAUCCGUCCACCCAAAGCGAGGCGAGGCGAGGCCAGCAGCGGCCUGAAGUGGCAAACCCGCAGGAGUCAUCAGGCUGCCACAGAUGAAGCGAAGAUAGCAGCGAGAUGAAGAGGCAGAGCUGACUCUCUACCCCCGGGGAGGAUGCAGCGAGGUGGAACCACUUGCCUGCCUCCCAGUGGAGAAAGACUUGCACCAUCAGAGCGCCAUCUGCAGACUCGGUGGGGUGGGACAGCUGGUGUUGUGAAUCAGGCCGCCGUAGUCCAGGGACCGGCUACUUCCCAACACCAGGGUCUCACCCUCACUCCUCACGUCCCCAUAAUCUCUCACCUUCUCCCUCGCAUCUUAUCCCAAGUCACUGCUACAAUUUUUCUUAUAGUUUUCAAUAAACUGGUUUUGUUCAGUUGUUUUUUUUUUCCCCACUUUUAUUUGUUCCGAACAUGUUCCUACUCGUGUUAAUACGAAUUCUUUACAGCAGGACAGGUAAUAAUGGAGAGCAAAUGUUUCCGAAGUAAAGGGAAUAAAUAUUUAUUCAAACACCUGUGAGUGUGUCUUAAUACAUGAACUGUAAAGAAUUGUAACAGAUCACGGCUAAAUUAAAUCAAUGCCACUCCUUCAA